GCCUAAAGAAACACGAGCAGGCAGAAGUGGGCGGGACCGAGAGAAACCCGGCUAGGAGGGGCGGAGCAAAAAGGCGUUCCCCCUCCCGCCCGCAGGCGGCGCUGUGGGGGCGGAGCAUGGGAGAUGGGACGUACCCUCCCUUAGGCGGGCGGGACGGUGCCCCGGAUGCAGGUCGCGGCCCGGAUCUCUGAGGUCCCAAUCCGCGUUAUCCAUCUCAGUACUAGGUGCUACUCGCCUGAGGAUUCUGAGAGGUCAUGGCCCCGGGGGCGCCUGCUCGGAUACCUGUGACAUUUGAUGACAUCGCCAUGUAUUUCUCAGAGCAAGAAUGGAGAAAUCUGGAGGAUUGGCAGAAGGACCUUUAUAAGAACAUAAUGAAGUCCAAUUAUGAGACUUUGAUCUUCCUGGGUAAGGGGCUUUAGAGAGGAACUUUAUGGGUGACUCUCAUGGAAUCGGAGGCAGAAAAGAGCUUUGAUACAGUCAUCCAUUGCUUGGCUUUUUCAGUAAGAAAGUCGGAAAGAUGGUUAUUAAUAUUUGCAGUUUUGCUUGGGUCUUCAUUACUUGAGAGACUGAAAUUGGUAUUCCAAUAUGUAAUAUGGUAUCCAUCAUGCCACAAGGCAGCUGUGUUCACUAAACACUCUCAGGGUUGUCAUCUGGUCUAAUGUAAAGAAAGGCAUGUCCGUUUCACAAGGGUUCCAUCAUUCACCAAGCAUUUAUUCAGCUCUAAGGGCCAGGACACUGUGCUAAGGGAUAGGAUACAAAGACAAAAUAAAACAAUUUCUGCUCUCAAGGAA